ACCAGGAUUUUUUUUCUUCUUCAGGGAAACUGUAUCAAUCUGACCGAUGCCUUGACUCUGUAUGAAGAACAGCUUAGUAGGCUUUAUUGUCCUGUGGAGUUUUCAAAAGAAAUCGUGUGCGUUCCCUCCUACAUGGAAUUGUGGGUGUUCUACACUAUUUGGAAGAAACAAACUGAAGUCUGAACAUCAAGAUUAUUCUAAAUGUACAUGCUACAUGAAGCAUAUAGGCCUGCCACAUGGUGCAUAUUGGCAUCUGGAACCCUUAAAUUAUAUGCUGUAGAUGAUCCUGAUACUUAGUCAUGCUAUUGAUUGUGAAUUCUUUUAAAUGUUUUUUUUAUUGUUAUUUUAAUUUAAAAGCAAAUGAAAAAUGUAUAUUUUGAUGAGCUAGGAUGUUAUUUUUGAAAGUCAACUUAAAGAUGAGUAAGCAGCAAAACUAUAUAGCUGCUAAAUGCACUGAACCUUUAGAAUGUGAUCCUUUUUAGUUUUUGUAGAUCUUCACAAAGGUAUUGAUUAAAGAAGACAUCUUGAGCAUUUCA